AGCGAACGCUGGCGGCAGGCUUAACACAUGCAAGUCGAACGGGCACCUUCGGGUGUCAGUGGCAGACGGGUGAGUAACACGUGGGAACGUGCCCUUCGGUUCGGAAUAACUCAGGGAAACUUGAGCUAAUACCGGAUACGCCCUUACGGGGAAAGGUUUACUGCCGAAGGAUCGGCCCGCGUCUGAUUAGCUAGUUGGUGGGGUAAUGGCCUACCAAGGCGACGAUCAGUAGCUGGUCUGAGAGGAUGAUCAGCCACACUGGGACUGAGACACGGCCCAGACUCCUACGGGAGGCAGCAGUGGGGAAUAUUGGACAAUGGGCGAAAGCCUGAUCCAGCCAUGCCGCGUGAGUGAUGAAGGCCUUAGGGUUGUAAAGCUCUUUCGACGGGGACGAUAAUGACGGUACCCGUAGAAGAAGCCCCGGCUAACUUCGUGCCAGCCGCCGCAGUAAAAC
rnacentral:rRNA from 1 species